UACAGAGGAUGCAAGCGUUAUCCGGAAUGAUUGGGCGUAAAGCGUCUGUAGGUGGCUUUUUAAGUCCGCCGUCAAAUCCCAGGGCUCAACUCUGGACAGGCGGUGGAAACUACCAAGCUGGAGUACGGUAGGGGCAGAGGGAAUUUCCGGUGGAGCGGUGAAAUGCGUAGAGAUCGGAAAGAACAUCAGUGGCGAAGGCGACUUCCUGGAUUAAUACUGACACUGAGGAGCGAAAGCGUGGGGAGCGAACAGG
rnacentral:rRNA from 1 species